GCCUACGACCAUACCACUCCGAAUAUACCGGUUCUCGUCUGAUCACCGAAGUCAAGCGGAGUCGGGCCGGGUCAGUACUAGGAUGGGAGACCGCCUGGGAACACCCGGUGUUGUAGGUU